UGGAUAGUAUUUUUAAUGAAAUUUAACGGAUUUGGCGGCAAGAUAGCCACUUAGAGGAACCUGCCCUGUAAACGAUGAGCCACGAUUAACCUUACUUUUACUAGAAUCCAGUUUGUAUACCGCUGUUGUCAGUUAGUUUCUUUAGAAAACUUUCGUACAUGAUAAAUUCAAUGACUUCAAGUAAAGGUGCAGCUUAUGUAAAAGAUAGAGGUGGGUUACAAUUAAAAGGAUAAUAUGGAUAAAGUAAAGAAAAAACUUUUGAAGGUGGAUUUAAUAGUAAAGUUUAAUAAGACUUGAUUAGAGCUCUAUCUUGUGUACACACCGCCCGUCGCUCGCGGGA
rnacentral:rRNA from 1 species